GCCACUUGGAAACGAUUCUGCUUCCUCUGUGCUACGGAAAGCCGUUUUAUUUCCUCAUAGGGACAGGCAGGAGCAAAACCAGACUAUCCCACGCGGCAGAUGCAAAGACCCACUCGCAAAGACACACGCGCACACACACGUGCGCACAACACUUCCUCUUCCUCUCUCUGGUUUCUCUUCCCACGCCAUUUUAAGUUUGCUCUGCAAGUCUUGGCUCCCUGUCGAAGGAAUGCUAGGCAUCAGGGAGUAGGGCAGGGCAAACAUUCUUGGGAAGUACCCAGCUUGUCCAGCACACCUGCUUUUAAUUCUACCUUGAAGUCAGGUCAAAGCCAGUUCCUGAUUCCGGAGUUCUGGUCCCAGAAAUACAAGCAGCUCUAACCUGGGGCCCAGUCUCCCUGCCUGGAUUCCCCCACGGCUACCCACCCCUGCCCCACUUCUCAGUACUGACAGUUCUGACUUGUUCCUAACCUAGACCUGUAGCCAGAGCCGGGGGUGGGGGUGGGGGGAUCGGGACUGCCCCACCUAAGAAGAGCCAGAGAAUUUCCUGUGUCGGACAUUCUUUGCCCUUCCCCAGUGCCGCCUUUGGACCAUCGACACUGCUGUUUGGGGGACUGUGAGCUCACCCUGGCCUCCCUCUGCCUUUUGGACACUUCUGGAACCUGCGCCUUUUCCCUGGCGCUUUGGGGCAUUUCCAUUCAGCCUGCUUUCCUCCGGUUUGACUUCUGCGGCUCAGGUGGCAGGGGACUUGAAUGGGCUCCAUUGAGCUGCACUGCAUGCUGGGAAGGCUCACGUCAGACUUUAUUGUGUGUCCCUGCUGUAAACUUCUCAGUGUGAUAUUUACGUGAGCACAGACUCUCAACAGGAACUUCCAAGCCAUUUAUGGACGUCUCUGGCUCUUUUAGCUUCCACGGGAACCCUGAAGGCUUUGAAGAACAGCUGCACUGAGUUCCGUUCCCAGCACCCAUGUGGGACAAUUCACAACCACCUGUAACUCUAACUCCAGGGGAUCCAGUUCCUUUUUUAGCUACCACAGACACCUAUACUCGUGUAAGCAAACACGCAUGAGUGUACAAUGUUCCCAGUCUUUACCAGGUUGAAGAAACGUCUCGGUCACUGAAGUGAGGGGCUGGCAGGCAUCGGAUCCGCUCAGGAUCUGGCCAAGGAGAAAGCAGAGGACACAGCUGACUGCACUGCUUUUCUCACAGAUCUCAGUAAUUUAGUCAAAGGACUGAAGUUUACAGGCAUUGAUCCAGCCCCGUGUGAGGCUAGCCUUGCUCUCCGGGGAAGCCCCAUGAGUCAGCUGCCCUCUGCCCGGGAGGAACCCUUUCGAUGGAGAUUCACCUGUGCCAGGUGAAAUCGGUCAGAAAUUAGCCAAGAUGGGAGCAGCAGGCUGUGAGGGUUCAGAAUCAGGAGGGUGAUUCAUCCCACCUCUUCCAGUCACUUCCCUGCGGAGGCGACUUCUCACUAAGCAAUGUCUGGCCAGAGUCCUUGCCUGAGAGGGUGGCAUUAUGUGUCAUGUCAUUGAGAGAGAAACAGCAAAGACACCUACCUACCCAGGAGUGGUGGGGGCGAGGGGGUUCAAAAAGUGUUCAGCUGGCAGUGAGUUAGUGCUGCCUCCUAGGGAGGUCGUGGUGGCACAAGCCUUUAAUCCCAGCACUCUGGAGGCAGAGGCUGGAGGACCUCUGAGAGUUUGAGGCCAGCAGUCUACAAAGCAAAUUUCAGGACAGCCAGGGUUGUUACACAGAGAAACUCUGUCUCAAAAGAAAAAAAAGAAAUUUAUUUUUAUUUUAUGUGUAUUGGUAUAAUGCCUGUAUGUAGUCUAUGUAGUACAUGUGAAAUAUUCUCAGAGGCCAGAGGAGGGUGUGGGGUUUCCUGGAGCUGGAAUCAGAUGGCUGUUAGCUAUUAUGUGGGUGCUGGGAAUGGAAUCUGGGUCCUCUGGAAGAACAGCCAGUGCCCUUAAUGGCUGACUCAUCCCUCCAGCGCCCUCAACUACAUUUUGUUAAAUGCCUGGGGGCUGGGGGAAGGCCUUUUUUUUUUUUAACACUUUCAAAAUAUGGCUAGCUGUACCUAUAUCACUUAUAUCAACGACAACCACUAAACACAAAACACACCUACUGGCCCCAUUUGGGCCUUUCUGAGGCGUGGCCCACAGUAAAGAGAAGUGACCCAAAGAGGAGGCCUUGUAAAUCUUUUUUUUUCCUGUCUUUUUAUUUAUUCAUACACAACUACUUGCCUUCCAGCUUGUUGAAGCUGAAGCAGUAAGUCAGAGGCCUUGUAAAUCUUGAGAGUAGAGUUGACUCACGCAGGGAACUUUUGUGUCAGAAUGUGGUCUAGGGGAAGAGCGCUGGCUGCGGUGGGCAUGGUCCUGUUGACUCUUCCCGGGAGGAAGAACUUGGCUAGAACAAAUAUAAAGCAGACUCAGUGAAGCCUGGGGCCUCAAAGGAGACCCCAUCUCCCCAGUUCCAAGAACUACAAGGAAACAGGGCUAAGCUCCAUAGAAACUGACACCAGUUACUCAUUUUGUCCUGGUGACUAGACCAACGCCAAUCAGCGCCAAUACCCAGUGUGGAGAAAUCCCUGGAGCGAACUUCUCCGGGGCAGGACUUCUUAAUCGAGGGACGUUUGGAGACAUUUUCUGUAGUGCCUGAGUCCAAGGACCUCCAAGAACAUGACCACAGAGCCACACUUCCAAAUGCAAAAGCAAGGUUUCGUUUAUUAAGUACAGGCUAGCACGGGUCUUCUGCCUUACAGUCUGACACAGCAGACGGAGGGAGAAGGACCCUGUCUACUAUUGUAAGGGGUUAAACAAAACAAAAACCACAAAGCAGUCACAAAGUUACAGUCUCAAAAUACAAAAUUACUUAUCCUAUAUCUCCAUUGUCUAAAGGUGAGGUAAAGCUCGGCUGUUAGGAUCUAAGGGGGAUAGCAUAGCCCCCCUGGUUAUGUCCUCCAGACAUCUGCUGACCCUGUGCUAACCGCAGAGGCAAAUGUGGUUAAUCAGGUACCUACAAGGACGUUUGAAGCAAGCAGAUAUAAACAUGUUGUUUGAGUACCCUGGUGGGUGGGUCACUUUGACCAGGGCAGGCACAGUUUCUUGGGAAUGUUUAUGACUUCGCUGGACAGCAUUCCGCCCCCUAGUUAUUCCCUGUCUAAAAUGGAGUUCUUUUUUCAAAAUGGAGUUUGUUGUGCUCCUUCAUUUCCCACCACACGUAAGCCAGAAGGCUGGCAGCGUGGCUCAGAAGGUCAAGGCAUGUGUUGCACUGCCUGACGUGAUCUAAAUUCAAUCCCUUGAAUCCACAUGGUAGAGGGCAAGAAAUGACUCCCACUGUCCUCUGACCUCUACACACACACACACCAUGGCAUGUGUGUACACACCCACGAACAGACAUAAGUAAAUAAACAAACAAAAAAUAAAUUUAUACUUUAAAAAAAGCAUGGGGCUGGAAAUAUGACUCUGUAGUUAAGAAUACUGGCUGCUCUUCCAGAGGUCCUGGGUUUGAUUCCUAGCAUGCAGCUCACAACUGUCUGUAGCCCCAGUUCCAGGGACUCUAACUCCACAGCACAUAAAAUUAAGUUAAAUAAUAAUAGUAAUAGUAUUAAUAAUAAUAAUAAUAAUAAAAGAUGUAGUGAGUGAUAGUCAAGAAUCUUAAAAAUAUCCUACAAUACUUUCCUAAAAGAAAGUCAGGCUGGAGAGUUGACUCGGUGGUUAGGAGCACUGGCUGCUCUUGUAGAGGUCCUGAGUUUAAUUCCCAGCAAUCACA